rnacentral:rRNA from 1 species
AACGUAGGAGGCAAGCGUUAUCCGGAAUUACUGGGCGUAAAGGGCGUCUAGGCGGUGGCUCAAGCGCGGUGUGAAAGCGCCCGGCUCAACUGGGCGAGUGCGCUGCGAACUGAUCGACUAGAGGGCAGGCGACGGCGGUGGAAUUCCCGGUGGAGUGGUGAAAUGCGCAGAUAUCGGGAGGAACACCAAUGGCGAAGGCAGCUCGCUGGGACGGUACUGACGCUGAGACGCGAAAGCGUGGGGAGCAAACAGG